GUCAAUAUAGUUUAGAAAAAACACUAGACUGUGAAUCUAGAGAUAGGAGUUUAACCCUCCUUAUUUACC
rnacentral:tRNA from 1 species